CACGCCGUAAACGAUGGAUGCUAGCUGUUAUAGGUAUCGACCCCUGUAGUAGCGAAGCUAACGCGUUAAGCAUCCCGCCUGUGGAGUACGGUCGCAAGACUAAAACAUAAAGGAAUUGACGGGGACCCGCACAAGCGGUGGAGCGUGUUGUUUAAUUCGAUGGUAAACGAAGAACCUUACCCAGGUUUGACAUCCUUGGAAUUUUGCCGAAAGGCGAGAGUGCUUUAUUGAGCCAAGUGACAGGUGU
rnacentral:rRNA from 1 species